rnacentral:rRNA from 1 species
AAUAUUGCGAGAUGGAGGGAACUCUGACGCAGCGACGCCGCGUGAGCGAUGAAGGUCUUCGGAUCGUAACGCUCUGUCCUUGGGGAAGAAUGUCUUCGGCCUUGACGGUACCUCAGGAGUAAGCCCCGGCUAACUACGUGCUAUCAGCCGCGGUAAUACGUAGGGGGCAAGCGUUGUCCGGAAUUAGUUGGCGUAAAGGGUACGUAGGCGGCUAUAUAAAGCAGGUGUUAAAUAACAGUGCUUAACACUGGAAAGGCAAUUGAAACUGUGUAGCUUGAGUGCAGGAGAGGAAAGUGGAAUUCCUAGUGUAGCGGUGAAAUGCGUAGAGAUUAGGAGGAACACCAGUGGCGAAGGCGACUUACUGGACUGUAACUGACGCUGAGGUACGAAAGCGUGGGGAGCAAACA